rnacentral:rRNA from 1 species
GGGCGCCGCCUAAAACUUGCAGUCGCGCGAUGGAUUAAGAGCUUGCUCUUAUGAAGUUAGCGGCGGACGGGUGAGUAACACGUGGGUAACCUGCCCAUAAGACUGGGAUAACUCCGGGAAACCGGGGCUAAUACCGGAUAACAUUUUGAACCGCAUGGUUCGAAAUUGAAAGGCGGCUUCGGCUGUCACUUAUGGAUGGACCCGCGUCGCAUUAGCUAGUUGGUGAGGUAACGGCUCACCAAGGCAACGAUGCGUAGCCGACCUGAGAGGGUGAUCGGCCACACUGGGACUGAGACACGGCCCAGACUCCUACGGGAGGCAGCAGUAGGGAAUCUUCCGCAAUGGACGAAUAGGGGGACGGAGCAACGCCGCGUGAGUGAUGAAGGCUUUCGGGUCGUAAAACUCUGUUGUUAGGGAAGAACAAGUGCUAGUUGAAUAAGCUGGCACCUUGACGGUACCUAACCAGAAAAGCCACGGCUAACUACGUGCCAGCAGCCGCGGUAAUACGUAGGUGGCAAGCGUUAUCCGGAAUUAUUGGGCGUAAAGCGCGCGCAGGUGGUUUCUUAAGUCUGAUGUGAAAGCCCACGGCUCAUCCGUGGAGGGUCAUUUGGAAACUGGGAGACUUGAGUGCAGAAGGAGGAAAAGGUGGAAAUUCCAUGUGGUAGCGGUUGAAUUUGCGGUAGAGGAAUAUGGCGAGGGA